CAACUUAAUUUUACUGGUAUCAGUUUGUUCAUAAUAUCUCAAUUUUGAUUUGAAUGUGGGUGGGAACGUUUUUAGGGUUCCUUACCCGAAGGGUGCUAACGGAACCCUUCCUAAGCCUCCACUGUAUAUGCAUCCGUCCGUCUUUCUGUAAUCAGACUGUAUCUCGAUUGUCGAGAACCGUAAUAGGUAGUUAAAAUUUACACAGAAUAUGUAUUCCGAUUUUUUUUUUUCAGAAAACACG